rnacentral:rRNA from 1 species
GGUUAAGCGACUAAGCGUACACGGUGGAUGCCCUGGCAGUCAGAGGCGAUGAAGGACGUGCUAAUCUGCGAAAAGCGCCGGCGAGGUGAUAUGAACCUUUGACCCGGCGAUGUCCGAAUGGGGAAACCCAGUGUGUUCCGACACACUAUCGUUAACUGAAUACAUAGGUUAACGAGGCGAACCGGGGGAACUGAAACAUCUAAGUACCCCGAGGAAAAGAAAUCAACCGAGAUUCCCCCAGUAGCGGCGAGCGAACGGGGAGCAGCCCGGAGUCUGAAUCAGCUUGUGUGUUAGUGGAACGGUCUGGAAAGUCCGACGGUACAGGGUGAUAGUCCCGUACACGAAAAUGCACAGGUUGUGAACUCGAAGAGUAGGGCGGGACACGUGGUAUCCUGUCUGAAUAUGGGGGGACCAUCCUCCAAGGCUAAAUACUCCUGACUGACCGAUAGUGAACCAGUACCGUGAGGGAAAGGCGAAAAGAACCCCGGCGAGGGGAGUGAAAAAGAACCUGAAACCGUGUACGUACAAGCAGUGGGAGCACCUUCGGGUGUGACUGCGUACCUUUUGUAUAAUGGGUCAGCGACUUAUAUUCUGUAGCAAGGUUAACCGUAUAGGGGAGCCGAAGGGAAACCGAGUCUUAACUGGGCGUUAAGUUGCAGGGUAUAGACCCGAAACCCGGUGAUCUAGCCAUGGGCAGGUUGAAGGUUGGGUAACACUAACUGGAGGACCGAACCGACUAAUGUUGAAAAAUUAGCGGAUGACCUGUGGCUGGGGGUGAAAGGCCAAUCAAACCGGGAGAUAGCUGGUUCUCCCCGAAAGCUAUUUAGGUAGCGCCUCGUGAA